CGGUUAGAUCUGGGCUCAAUUCAGCUGACGGAUCAAUGUAACUCGCAGUUCUGUUGGUAAUAUACUAUGUUUUAAAAUUAUUUUAGCUUUAUUUCUAUGUUCAUAUAAUGAAUAAGACUUUCAUGUUGCUGUCUUGCUCAUAUUUGUAAUCAGCAGAUCUGUUGUUGAUAUCUGCUUUUUAUGAAAUUGUUAAUGUUUUUUAGUUUUUUGCAGGAUAAAGAAAUGGCUUCUGCUGACAAUUCGUUGCAGUUUACGCUCUUUUUAUGGUAUCUAUCCUCGUCAUGGUGUCCGAGCAGAGACAUCUAUUCUUGUUGAUGCUCAAGGCCCGAAAUCAUUUGCGGAUGCUGGAUGAUGGACUUAGAAAGGAUAAAAAUUCUGUCUACAUGGAUACAAGGUUCUAACAUGUUUAAUGGCUUUCAUAAUUAUGAUUCAUUUAAUGUUAAUUCGAAAAAAUGAGCUAGAAGUAGUUGUGACAAGAUAUUUAGAAAAGAGAGGCUAUGUGUAAGAAAAGAGUGGCUUAUGUUCGUCUCGCCGACCUUUGCCAUGUCGGGUGCGCUCACAUGGCAGGUCAAAAGCUCAAUAAAAUACAUAAUAUUUUUGAUUUUGAGGAGAGAUGGUACGGGGAUUUUUGCCCGGCUCUCUCCGCGUGUGGUGUCUUUUUAUUCUUUUCCUUUCUCUCCUCGUUCUCGUUUCUAUUGCUGCGAUAAUUUUAUUUCUGUUUGGUCCUUGAAUGGGUUGGGGCCUUUUCCUGUGUUACAAAGAUGUCAUGAAACCCGUUCAAGGAUAAAGCAUAAUUUAUUUUUUUCCCGGAGCAAAGUCACCAGUAAGUCGCCAAUGCCAGAAUGGGUCUUCUCAAGUAUCAACGAUUUCCCAAGGUACAAUGUUAGAUAUUUAUUAGCUAGCAUCUGAUUGAUUAAAAACAUUUCAAACUUACAAUUGUUUAGCCAUUCCAUCUCAUAUUAAAGUUGAGCGGUUAGAUAGGAAAGCUAUGUCUGCAAAAAUUAGGCUUUAUUUUGUGUUUCAAGAUUUAGCAGUUUUUGAUAAAAAGUUUGUUAAAAUGUGGAGAACAUAAACGCUGCUUGUCCCGAGAUGUUUUUGAUAAACUUUCAGCCAUGAUAUUUUUUAUUAAACAAGCUACAUAUUAACUUGCUUAAUAUAUUGGUAUUUUCUUGACCAUGUACCCAACUUCUUGCAAUCUCAUGAUUUGAUGGGUAACUUCUCGGAAUAUCCUUACUAUCUUGGAUUUUGGGUAAACACUCAAUUGAAAGCUUAAGAAUUUUUGAAUGGUGAUCAUUUAUUUCGUCCAUCUAUAAUUAAAUACCAUUCCUGAAUUUGCCGAAGAAUAGAAAGGCUCAAAUCAAUUUGUUGUCAUAAUGUUUUGGUGAACGUCAAACAUGGUUAUUUGGCAAAUCCAAUUUUACCGGAGAUAUCAUAAAUAUGUUUCACAUGUAAUUUACAUAUGGCAAUGUUAACAAAAUUAUCUUAUCUACUAUCCCGAUCCUGAAUUCGUAACAUUCACUAUGAAGAUCAAUCCUGAGCAACUAACAAUUUUCGCUUCAAUUCAGUUGUAUAGUACAAAGUACGAGCGGAAUUUAUUGCUUGUUGUAGCUUUAUUUUUCCUGGUCCUAUACAUAUAUGAAUCUUAUUCGUACUGUUUUUUACCUGGUGUUGAAUUUAUUUUGUCAUUCUUGGGUCAUUAUCCUGCUGGAGUGUAUUGUAGAUUUAUUGGUAUUGACCAGAAGCCUUCUUUCUGUAAUGUAAUUGAAGGCCAUUACGCAUGGUAUGUAGAUGAGGAAUGCAGAUCUUUUUGAUUUAUACACUAGAUCAGCGUUUCUCCAUUUUCCUUCCAUGGGAAAAUGUUUGCAACUUUUUGUGUCAUGUUGGUUUGGAUUGCCUCACGGAGUGGAAAUACAUGAAGAUGAUCCUGUUUGUUUUUGCUGUUGAUCCGCUGCUGCUGCCUCUGCCUCUGCCUCUGCCUCUGCCUCUGCUGCUGCUGCUGCUGCUAUUGCUAAACUUGAUACUUCAAGAUGCCUCAUCCUUCAAAGCAUCUAGAACCUGUGGAUUGCGAUGAAUGUUUGUGAUAUAUCUCAUUUAAUGCUUGUGCCAUGUUCAUUCCUUUGUGCUGUCCCUGCAAACUUGCUGAAGGUGCGUGCUGCUGCUGCUUGAUAUCUAUGAUUUGGCCAGUCCUGUGUUACAAUAUGCACAGGCUGAUCAUCAAAAUUCUUCACUCUUGAUACUGUUUUAGUGAACUGUUAAUCCUAUAAACGAUGCUAUUUGUUGAGUUCCUCAUUCACAAACUGGUGGCCAUAAAUGGUGUUAAUGUUCAUGACGGUUGUUGAUAUGGAUCUUGUAUCGCUUUGCUUCUGCACUAUAAGUUGUUUAUGUCGAUAAUUAUUCGAGGCGGUUGAUCAGUUACAGUUAUUUGAUGUAGUUCAUGGUAAUGGUAAUGGAUUUUUUUAGUGGAUUUAAUUGCGAUUUUUUUAGCGUUUAAUGUCUUAAUUUCUAUCUUAUGUUUUUGUAGGUGGACUUGGGAUCUAUUUCGUUGUGUUUAUAGGGAUGAACAUUAGCCUUGGGAGAAAGUUAAGUGAGGUACAUGUCCAAGGCGCUGUUUUAAAACCACUGUAAGUGGGAAUACAUUUAUAAUUGUAUUUACAAGUAAUAUAUAGUCGAGAAAUUUGCGUGUUGAGGUUUUGAUUAUUUUAUGUAUUUAGAGGAGAAAAUAAGCUAUGAAUGUUUAGUAGUUUUCCUUAUCCCUAAGAACUGUCGACCAAACAUACACUGCCUUGAGGCGGGUACCUGCUCGAUGCGUAUCUCAAAUUGCGUUGUCACAUUUAGCUUUAAAUUUUGAAUUUCGGCAGAAUUCUGAUGUGGAAAUCAAUUUUGCAACUGAGCUUGGUUUUUCGAUUAAUUUGGGACGAAAACGGAAUUUCAGUGUUGGUCCAGUUAAAAUUCUAUUAAUUUUGCAAACUGCUUUUUUUAAUUAAUGAAUUUUUUAGUUUUAUAUUAACUGAACUAAGCUCAUGUCUUUCCUCGUGUUUUAAAAAAUUCAUUUGUUAUAAAUUUAUUUUCAACUACAUGUUAUUUCACUAAAUAAUUCUGUACUUCAUUUUUUUUGGUUAAAUAGAACCGUACAUUUUAAAAAAUUUACUUUUUCAAAAUAUAUUUUCCUUGAAAAUGGGUUGUCAAAUUUAUUUAUUUUUGCAGCAGGGCCACAUGUUCGUUUGGCCUAUAUUAAUUUUUGUUUCAUUGUAUUUCAUUUUUUCCUUUCUUAUUUUUAACUGCACAAUCUUUUAUAAAGUAAUACGUAAAUCAAAAUGUUCUUUAAAAAAAAAAAGAAGCUUAUUUCACUCAUCUUUAUUAUCACAAAAUGGGUGCUAUUUUAAUUUGGAAUGCCGGAUGUUGACCGUGCAUAGUUGUAUUGCAUCCGAAUUCAAAUUCUUGGGUAACCAGCCUAAUCAUCACCUCUUGAGCGAAACUAUGAUAUGGAGAAAAGUUAUUAUCUAAUCCUCAAUAAAAGGGGAUGGGGUGCGACAUCUAUUUUUGAUAGGUCAAUUUAGUUACAUUCGUAGGUGGUUUUGGUGGAAAUUACUUGAAAAAUGUCUGGUGGGAAAAGAUUACCUUCAUUAAUAUUAUAUCGGUAUGUAUCACGGGGCAUUCUCUCAUAAUUUUAACUCUGCCAUUUGAUCAAACCAUGAUUUGGAAGAAGACUGAAUGAAGUGUGUGUGACACCGUGGGCAAUUAGAUUGGAAAUAACAAUGGGACAAAUUCCUAGUAGAAGCUUUAUAAUUUAACUCUGUUCUGAUUGGAUGGAUCCAGAAGCUCAAAAAUGGGAGUGCGCUCGAUUGCUUUUUGCAUUUGAGAGGUUGGUGGUUCGAAUCCACCUGGAUCCGCUAUUUUAUGGUUGUCAAGAAUUGAAAUUUUGUGUAGGUUUUUUUAUUGGAAAAUAUAGUAUUUAGAAAUUUCUUUUACAUGUUCUUUUACAUUUUGAGUUAUAGUUAAUGUGUAAUUUGCACGACUAAGAGGGGCCAAUGGAGAGGCACAAUUAUGCGUGUUGGAAUUUGGAAGAAACUUUUAAAGAAAUUUCUUAAUUGAAGACUUUCCAACAUAAUUUGAAGAAUUAUUAGGAAUUAAGUUUGCACUGUAUUCAUCGAAUAAUAAUUUGAUUUUUUAUUGACCUAUAU
rnacentral:lncRNA from 1 species